GGGUUGUGAGGUUAAGCGACUAAGCGUACACGGUGGAUGCCCUGGCAGUCAGAGGCGAUGAAGGACGUGCUAAUCUGCGAUAAGCGUCGGUAAGGUGAUAUGAACCGUUAUAACCGGCGAUUUCCGAAUGGGGAAACCCAGUGUGUUUCGGCACACUAUCAUUAACUGAAUCCAUAGGUUAAUGAGGCGAACCGGGGGAACUGAAACAUCUAAGUACCCCGAGGAAAAGAAAUCAACCGAGAUUCCCCCAGUAGCGGCGAGCGAACGGGGAGGAGCCCAGAGCCUGAAUCAGUGUGUGUGUUAGUGGAAGCGUCUGGAAAGGCGCAGCGAUACAGGGUGACAGCCCCGUACACAAAAAUGCACAUAUUGUGAGCUCGAUGAGUAGGGCGGGACACGUGGUAUCCUGUCUGAAUAUGGGGGGACCAUCCUCCAAGGCUAAAUACUCCUGACUGACCGAUAGUGAACCAGUACCGUGAGGGAAAGGCGAAAAGAACCCCGGCGAGGGGAGUGAAAAAGAACCUGAAACCGUGUACGUACAAGCAGUGGGAGCCUCUUUAUGGGGUGACUGCGUACCUUUUGUAUAAUGGGUCAGCGACUUAUAUUCUGUAGCAAGGUUAACCGAAUAGGGGAGCCGAAGGGAAACCGAGUCUUAACUGGGCGUUAAGUUGCAGGGUAUAGACCCGAAACCCGGUGAUCUAGCCAUGGGCAGGUUGAAGGUUGGGUAACACUAACUGGAGGACCGAACCGACUAAUGUUGAAAAAUUAGCGGAUGACUUGUGGCUGGGGGUGAAAGGCCAAUCAAACCGGGAGAUAGCUGGUUCUCCCCGAAAGCUAUUUAGGUAGCGCCUCGUGAAUUCAUCUCCGGGGGUAGAGCACUGUUUCGGCAAGGGGGUCAUCCCGACUUACCAACCCGAUGCAAACUGCGAAUACCGGAGAAUGUUAUCACGGGAGACACACGGCGGGUGCUAACGUCCGUCGUGAAGAGGGAAACAACCCAGACCGCCAGCUAAGGUCCCAAAGUCAUGGUUAAGUGGGAAACGAUGUGGGAAGGCCCAGACAGCCAGGAUGUUGGCUUAGAAGCAGCCAUCAUUUAAAGAAAGCGUAAUAGCUCACUGGUCGAGUCGGCCUGCGCGGAAGAUGUAACGGGGCUAAACCAUGCACCGAAGCUGCGGCAGCGACACUAUGUGUUGUUGGGUAGGGGAGCGUUCUGUAAGCCUGUGAAGGUGGCCUGUGAGGGUUGCUGGAGGUAUCAGAAGUGCGAAUGCUGACAUAAGUAACGAUAAAGCGGGUGAAAAGCCCGCUCGCCGGAAGACCAAGGGUUCCUGUCCAACGUUAAUCGGGGCAGGGUGAGUCGACCCCUAAGGCGAGGCCGAAAGGCGUAGUCGAUGGGAAACAGGUUAAUAUUCCUGUACUUGGUGUUACUGCGAAGGGGGGACGGAGAAGGCUAUGUUGGCCGGGCGACGGUUGUCCCGGUUUAAGCGUGUAGGCUGGUUUUCCAGGCAAAUCCGGAAAACCAAGGCUGAGGCGUGAUGACGAGGCACUACGGUGCUGAAGCGACAAAUGCCCUGCUUCCAGGAAAAGCCUCUAAGCAUCAGGUAACAUCAAAUCGUACCCCAAACCGACACAGGUGGUCAGGUAGAGAAUACCAAGGCGCUUGAGAGAACUCGGGUGAAGGAACUAGGCAAAAUGGUGCCGUAACUUCGGGAGAAGGCACGCUGAUAUGUAGGUGAAGCGACUUGCUCGUGGAGCUGAAAUCAGUCGAAGAUACCAGCUGGCUGCAACUGUUUAUUAAAAACACAGCACUGUGCAAACACGAAAGUGGACGUAUACGGUGUGACGCCUGCCCGGUGCCGGAAGGUUAAUUGAUGGGGUUAGCGGUAACGCGAAGCUCUUGAUCGAAGCCCCGGUAAACGGCGGCCGUAACUAUAACGGUCCUAAGGUAGCGAAAUUCCUUGUCGGGUAAGUUCCGACCUGCACGAAUGGCGUAAUGAUGGCCAGGCUGUCUCCACCCGAGACUCAGUGAAAUUGAACUCGCUGUGAAGAUGCAGUGUACCCGCGGCAAGACGGAAAGACCCCGUGAACCUUUACUAUAGCUUGACACUGAACAUUGAGCCUUGAUGUGUAGGAUAGGUGGGAGGCUUUGAAGUGUGGACGCCAGUCUGCAUGGAGCCGACCUUGAAAUACCACCCUUUAAUGUUUGAUGUUCUAACGUUGGCCCGUAAUCCGGGUUGCGGACAGUGUCUGGUGGGUAGUUUGACUGGGGCGGUCUCCUCCUAAAGAGUAACGGAGGAGCACGAAGGUUGGCUAAUCCUGGUCGGACAUCAGGAGGUUAGUGCAAUGGCAUAAGCCAGCUUGACUGCGAGCGUGACGGCGCGAGCAGGUGCGAAAGCAGGUCAUAGUGAUCCGGUGGUUCUGAAUGGAAGGGCCAUCGCUCAACGGAUAAAAGGUACUCCGGGGAUAACAGGCUGAUACCGCCCAAGAGUUCAUAUCGACGGCGGUGUUUGGCACCUCGAUGUCGGCUCAUCACAUCCUGGGGCUGAAGUAGGUCCCAAGGGUAUGGCUGUUCGCCAUUUAAAGUGGUACGCGAGCUGGGUUUAGAACGUCGUGAGACAGUUCGGUCCCUAUCUGCCGUGGGCGCUGGAGAACUGAGGGGGGCUGCUCCUAGUACGAGAGGACCGGAGUGGACGCAUCACUGGUGUUCGGGUUGUCAUGCCAAUGGCACUGCCCGGUAGCUAAAUGCGGAAGAGAUAAGUGCUGAAAGCAUCUAAGCACGAAACUUGCCCCGAGAUGAGUUCUCCCUGAGACUUAGAGUCUCCUGAAGGAACGUUGAAGACGACGACGUUGAUAGGCCGGGUGUGUAAGCGCAGCGAUGCGUUGAGCUAACCGGUACUAAUGAACCGUGAGGCUUAACCUUACAACGCCGAAGCUGUU
rnacentral:rRNA from 1 species